UUAAAUUAAGGACUUAUGAAAAAAAAUUUUAAAACUUUAAAUUCUUUCUUAAUUAAUUUACCUACACCAAGUAAUAUUUCUUACUGAUGAAACUUGGGGUCAAUCUUAGGUGUAUGUUUAAUAAUUCAAAUUGUUUCAGGUAUCUUUCUAUCAAUACACUAUACACCAAAUAUUAGAUUAGCAUUUAAUAGAAUAAUUCAUAUCACCCGAGAUGUAAAUUUUGGAUGACUUUUACGUAUUAUCCACGCUAAUGGAGCAUCUUUAUUCUUUUUUUUUAUAUUUAUUCAUACAGGGCGAGGAAUUUACUAUGGCUCUUUCCUUAAAAAAAAAGUUUGAAUUUCAGGGACCUUAAUUAUGUUGAUUCUUAUAGCAACUGCAUUCUUAGGUUAUGUACUCCCAUGAGGGCAAAUAUCAUUCUGAGGAGCUACCGUAAUCACAAAUUUACUCUCAGCUAUCCCCUACUUGGGUAAUAGAUUAGUUACAUGAAUUUGAGGGGGAUUUUCAGUAGAAAAUCCCACUUUAAACCGGUUUUUUUCAUUUCAUUUCAUUUUACCUUUCAUCCUUUGUGUAAUUAUUAUAUUUCACUUGAUCUUUUUACAUGAAAAAGGAUCAUCUAACCCUCUAGGAUUAAUUAAUAAAGUUGAUAAAAUUAGAUUUCACCCCUACUUCACUAUUAAAGAUAUCUUUGGGUUUAUAAUUAUAAUAUUAUUUUUUUUCUUUAUUAAUAUAAAAACCCCCUUUAUAUUUAAUGAUCCUGAAAAUUUUAUGCCGGCAAACCCCAUAGUGACACCCCCUCACAUUCAACCAGAGUGAUAUUUUCUAUUUGCUUAUGCUAUUUUACGAUCUAUUCCUAACAAAUUAGGGGGGGUUGUAGCUCUUUUCCUCUCUAUUGUUAUUAUUACAACUUUACCAUUUACUUCAAAUCUUAAGUUUAAAAGUUCAAGUAUAUACCCAAUUAAAAAAAUUUUAUUUAUUAUAUUUUGUAUAACAUUUAUAUUGUUAACUUGAAUUGGCGCUAAACCAGUUGAAACUCCAUUCAUUUUUAUUGGUCAAUUAUUAACACUUAUUUAUUUUAUAUUUUUCUUGAUUAACCCAAUUUUAUAUAAAUUUAAUGAAUAGUUAAAUCAAAUGUAUAUCUUGAAAAUAUAUCCUAAAAUUAGUUUUUUAUUAACUUUACUAGAAAAAAUGAAGCUAAUAGAUUAAAAUUAUUACAUUUAGGAAAAAAAAAAAUAAUGUAGGGCUACAGGUAAAUAAAUUUUUCAACAAAUUAUUAUUAAUUUAUCAUAUCGAAGACGAGGAAAAGAACCACGAAUCCAAAUAAAAAUAAAAUUUAUAAAUAUAACCUUUAGGAAAAAGAUUAAAGAAAAAAAAUCAGCCCCAAAAAAAAUUAUAACUAAAAUUAGUCUCAUAAAAAUUAUAUUAGUGUAUUCAGAUAAAAAAAUAAACGAAAAAUUAAAAGAACUAUAUUCUGUAUUAAACCCAGAAACUAAUUCAGAUUCACCUUCAGAAAAAUCAAAUGGGGAACGAUUAGUUUCUGCUAGUACACAAGCAAAUAAAAUUAAAAACAAUGGAUAUCCUAUAAUUAAAAAUCAAUUUAAUUGCUGAGAAUAAAAGAACUUUAUUAAAUUAAAUCCAUAAAAAAAAAAAUAAAAUUAAAUAUAAUUAAAAAUAUACAAACUUCAUAAGAAAUACUCUGAGCAACUGAGCGUAUACAGCCUAAAAGUGAAUAAGAUGAAUUAGAAGAUCAUCUAGAUAACAAAAUUCUAUACACCAUAAAACUUGAACAAGCAAUAAAAAAUAAUAAACCUAAAGGAAAACUUAAGAAAUUAAAUGAUAAAGGAUAUAAACAUCAUAAAUUUAAGGAAAUUAAAAGUCCUAAUAAGGGUAUCAAAUAAUAAAUUGUUAAAUUUCCAAAAUAUAAAUAAUAAGACUCCCUAGAAAAAAGUUUAAUAGCAUCUCUAAAAGGCUGUAAGAUACCUAUAUAACCUACCUUCGAGGGGCCCCUACGGGCCUGAAUAUACCCUAAUACCUUUCGUUCUAAAAGAACAUAAAAAGCUACGGAAAUUAAAAUCAAAAUUAAUAAAACUAUAAAACUCAAUAAAAACAUAUACUAACUGUAUAUUAUACAUUAUUAAAUUCUAAGUUUAAAACACUUUUCUGCCAAAUUAGCAGAAAGUAUUUCUAAUUUUAAAGUCCUUUCGUACUAAUAAAUCAUAAAUUAAAAUAGAUAGAAACCAACCUGGCUCACGCCGGUUUGAACUCAAAUCAUGUAAUCUUUUAAAGGUCGAACAGACCUAAAAUUCUAUCUUCUGCCCCAGAAUUCUAGAUUAAUUCAACAUCGAGGUCACAAUCAAAUUUAUAUAUAUGAACUUUACAAAUUUAUUAUGCUGUUAUCCCUAAGGUAUCUUAUUUUAAUAACCCUAAAUUAAGGUUCAAAUAUACAUAAAUAAAUGGUGUAAAAUACUAAAGAUUUAAGAUUUUAGCUGUCACCCCAACAAAAAAUUUUAUUUAAUAAAAAUUAAAUCCACAUUAAUAUUAUUAUUCAAUUAAAAUUUAAAGAUCUAAAGGGUCUUAUCGUCCCAUUUUUAAAUUUUAGCUUUUUAACUAAAAAAUAAAUUUCACUUAAUUGAAUUAAUAAAGCUUACUUCUUGUUAAACCAUUCAUUCUAGACCUCAAUUAAAAGACUAAUUACUAUGCUACCUUUGUACAGUUAAAUUACUGCAGCUAUUUAAAAAAUUCAUUGAGCAGGUUAAACUUUCAAUAAAUAUAAUACCUGAAAGAAAUGUUUUUGAUAAACAGUCAGAAGUUAAUUAUGCUGAAUUCAUAAAAUCAAUAUUUAUAUAAAUUUACUAAUUAAAUCAUAAUUAAUAAAAUUAAUAAUUUAAUUAAUUAAUUUUGGUUUUAAUUAAAUAAAAAGUUAAUAAAAAAAUAUUUUAAAACAAGUUUAUAUAGAAAAAAAAUUUUAAUCCUACAAUUUUCUCUUAUUAAAACUAAAUUAUAAAGAUUAAAUUAGAUUAACCCAAUUUAAAUUAGUGAAAAAAAUUUUAUGAAAAAAAAAUAUAAAAACUAAAUCACCUAAAUUGAAUUUAUUAAACAAAAUAACCAGAUAUCAGAUUAAACGAUUUUCCUUUCGAAUCUUAAAUAAUUUUAUUAAAAUUUUUGUUACAAUUAAAAUCAAAUAGAUUUAAGAUCUUAAACUUUCGGGAAACACAAAUUUAUUAACAAAAAUUAAUUUACCCUGAUACAAAAGGUACAAUAAAAAAAUUU